rnacentral:lncRNA from 1 species
CGCGAGAGGCCACACAGCUGAUCCGCGUGCCCAGUGAUUUGACAGCCCCGAUUUAAUCCCAUGCGCGUGAACGGUCAGAUUUAAUCUCAUCGAGCAGUCCAAAUUCAUUUUUCGAAUAUGAUAGAUACAACAGACUAGAGAGGGCCAUGCGUACACGGAUGGAUGACUCAGAUCGUUGCAGGAUGAGUAUUUAAAUAUUGCAUCUCAGGGAACCCUAACCCUAGUUGCUCUUGCCCUCACCGGAGAAGAAGAACCAGCCAUCGGAGAAGGAGAUCAACUCUCGACCGCUGUCGCAGUGGAGUCACCGCCGAUUGCUUAGAAAAGGUAAAAAAAAAAUUUCCUGU